rnacentral:rRNA from 1 species
AGUGAACGCUGGCGGUAGGCCUAACACAUGCAAGUCGAACGGCAGCACAGUAAGAGCUUGCUCUUACGGGUGGCGAGUGGCGGACGGGUGAGGAAUACAUCGGAAUCUACUUUUUCGUGGGGGAUAACGUAGGGAAACUUACGCUAAUACCGCAUACGACCUACGGGUGAAAGCAGGGGAUCUUCGGACCUUGCGCGAUUGAAUGAGCCGAUGUCGGAUUAGCUAGUUGGCGGGGUAAAGGCCCACCAAGGCGACGAUCCGUAGCUGGUCUGAGAGGAUGAUCAGCCACACUGGAACUGAGACACGGUCCAGACUCCUACGGGAGGCAGUAGUGGGGAAUAUUGGACAAUGGGCGCAAGCCUGAUCCAGCCAUACCGCGUGGGUGAAGAAGGCCUUCGGGUUGUAAAGCCCUUUUGUUGGGAAAGAAAAGCAGCAGGUUAAUACCCCGCCGUUCUGACGGUACCCAAAGAAUAAGCACCGGCUAACUUCGUG